rnacentral:rRNA from 1 species
CCUACGGGAGGCAGCAGUGGGGAAUAUUGGACAAUGGGCGAAACCUGAUCCAGCCAUGCCGCGUGUGUGAAGAGGUCUUCGGAUUGUAAGCACUUUAAGUUGGGAGGCGUUACCGACAGAAUAAGCACCGGCUAACUCUGUGCCAGCAGCCGCGGUAAUACAGAGGGUGCAAGCGUUAAUCGGAAUUACUGGGCGUAAAGCGCGCGUAGGUGGUUUGUUAAGUUGAAUGUGAAAUCCCCGGGCUCAACCUGGGAACUGCAUCCAAAACUGGCAAGCUAGAGUAUGGUAGAGGGUGGUGGAAUUUCCUGUGUAGCGGUGAAAUGCGUAGAUAUAGGAAGGAACACCAGUGGCGAAGGCGACCACCUGGACUGAACUGACACUGAGGUGCGAAAGCGUGGGGAGCAAACAGGAUUAGAUACCCUUGUAGUC